CGCCCGUUGGUCAAGUGGUUAAGACACCGCCCUAUCACGGCGGUAACACGGGUUCGAAUCCCGUACGGGUCA
rnacentral:tRNA from 1 species